rnacentral:rRNA from 1 species
AUACAGGCCAUUGCCUUAGUAGCGGCGAGUGAGCGGCAAAAGCUCAAAUUUGAAAUCUGGCGCCUUCGGUGUCCGAGUUGUAAUUUGAAGAUUGUAACCUUGGGGUUGGCUCUUGUCUAUGUUUCUUGGAACAGGACGUCACAGAGGGUGAGAAUCCCGUGCGAUGAGAUGCCCAAUUCUAUGUAAGGUGCUUUCGAAGAGUCGAGUUGUUUGGGAAUGCAGCUCUAAGUGGGUGGUAAAUUCCAUCUAAAGCUAAAUAUUGGCGAGAGACCGAUAGCGAACAAGUACAGUGAUGGAAAGAUGAAAAGAACUUUGAAAAGAGAGUGAAAAAGUACGUGAAAUUGUUGAAAGGGAAGGGUUUGAGAUCAGACUCGAUAUUUUGUGAGCCUUGCCUUCGUGGCGGGGUGACCCGCAGCUUAUCGGGCCAGCAUCGGUUUGGGCGGUAGGAUAAUGGCGUAGGAAUGUGACUUUACUUCGGUGAAGUGUUAUAGCCUGCGUUGAUGCUGCCUGCCUAGACCGAGGACUGCGAUUUUAUCAAGGAUGCUGGCAUAAUGAUCCCAAACCGCCCGUCUUGAAAAAACGGACCCCAA